rnacentral:rRNA from 1 species
GACGAACGCUGGCGGCGUGCUUAACACAUGCAAGUCGAACGAAGAGGCGAACGGGGGAGUAUUACGUGAGUAACCUGCCCUCCUUUUUGGGAUAAGCCUUGGAAAAGGGGUCUAAUAACGAAUUCAGGGGGAUGGGCUCGCGGCCUAUCAGCGUGUUGGGGGGGUGAUGACCUACCAAGGCGAUGUCUGGUAGCCGGCCUGGGAGGGUGACCUGCCACAUUGGGGAUGGUGUACGGCCCAGACUCCUACGGGAGGCAGCAGUGGGGGUUAUAGCACAAUGAGCGAGAGCCUGAUGAAGCGACGCCGCAUGGGGGAGGAAGGCUUUCGGGUUGUAAACGUCUAUCGGGAUAGAAAGGUUAGGUGGAGAAGAAGCGCCAGCUAACUACGUGCCAGCAGCCGCGGUAAUUC